AAACGUCUCAGUUCGGAUUGUAGUCUGCAACUCGACUACAUGAAGCUGGAAUCGCUAGUAAUCGCGGAUCAGAAUGCCGCGGUGAAUACGUUCCCGGGUCUUGUACACACCGCCCGUCACACCAUGGGAGCCGGAAAUGCCCGAAGUCGGUGAGCUAACGAAAGAGGCAGCCGCCGAAGGCAGGCCCGGUAACUGGGGUGAAGUCGUAACAAGGUAGC
rnacentral:rRNA from 1 species